AAGAAUUUAGUUAAAGUGAUAACAUUAGUUUGUCAUACUAAAAUUAUUAAAAUUAUUAUAAUAAUUCUUG
rnacentral:tRNA from 1 species